UCCAUUUUCACUCUUUUAUCUCCUCCAUUUCUUCCAUCCCCACCAAGCAAAAACCAUAAUCCCCAAUUACCAUUUUCACCCAAAAUUCGACAUAAUAAACCAUUAUUGGAGGUCGUUUCGAGGUGUCGGAAUGGUGGUAAUACGGUUGUUGAUGUUUCUUAUGGUGGUGAUAGUUUGAAUUUGUGCUCUCAGAGAGUGGGAGGUUUGUGUCUAGGUGGAAUAAUGGUGAUGGUUUUCCGGGUAAACUUACCCCAUUCCACCGCUGCUGCUCCAGUCCACGGUCUCUUCGUGCAAAUUCAAUUUUCAAACUCCAAAACCGUGUUUUAAUCUCUAUCACCACCGGUCGCCGCCGUCACACACUCUCUCUACACUCCGGCGACACUAAUCCUCCUCACAUCUCAACAAUGACAUCAACCGACAUUGCAAAUUUCGAUCUCAGGUCCAGCUAUGGCGUGUUUUCGCUAACGCGUUCACGCGGUGGUCCGAAUGUACGCCGUUAACAUUUACCGAAAGCGUUAACUACUUCACUACUGAUAUGAAAAUCGGAUUCUACGCCGGAGAACACGGCGAUGGUGAGGAGUUUGACGGUGUGUUGGGAUCGUUAGCUCACGCGUUUGCACCGCCUAGAGGCUUGUUGCAUCUAGACAGUGACGAAACGUGGAUUGUUGGUGAUAUAUUUGGUUCUGGGUCUGGAACAGGAACAGAAAUGGAUCUGGAAUCAGUGGCGGUGCAUGAGAUCAGGCAUUUGUUAGGGCUAGGACACUUGUCGGUGGAAAAUGCGAAUAUGUUUCUAAUUUCUCAUGAAUUUUACCUGUUUUUCGUGAAUUUGUUUGCUCGAUCUGUAACCGACACAGUCCAGCUAUGGCGCGAGUGAGUAUACAUUUGCUGCUGUGGAUAAUCUGGACCAUUGUAUGAAGUAUUUGAACCAGACGCUAGUCACAUUUGGAUUUCCGGCUUCUCUGGAUUUGUUUGCAACUGAUCCGGUUUCGGUUGCGCGAACUUGCAAUUGCAUAUACUCGUUGUUGCAGCAGAGGCAACGCGAUAUUGAGUUUCGAGAGUCGACUAAUGAUAAGAGGCAACGUAAUCAAAACGUGCAGGGUCGUAUUGAGCUGGCCGCGCCACUACUUGCCCAGGUUUUUUGUAUUUUCUGAAUAUUUAAUGUUGGAACUAUAUUAACGAGAGCUUUAGCACUGAAAUGAUAAUAUUUUUUUAAAUAGAACGAUUUUGGUUGUAGUGAACAUAUGAGUACAAAUAAGACUCAUUUUGACCUGUUUAGCCCCUGACCCAUUUUGUCUUUGCUUAAAUUAUAUAAUUUACCCACUUCAACAGGUAGAAUACAACCUAGGUUGUUGAUAGCUCGUCAAUAUGUUUUAUUGUACAAUAAUUUAUUAAUUUACAAGUAGGGGUGUAAACGAGCCCGAGCCUGAGCCAAAUCGAACCCGAUUAGUUGAACCCGGUAUGGACACGAACCGUAGGGUUGAAAUCUGUUCGUAACCCAUACUUUCAAACCAGUCAUAACCCUGGUUUCAAACCGGUCAAACCCAAUCCCGAACUGGUUUGGACAAAAACCUGAUUUGACCAUCUUUGAUCCAACCUGAACUGGUUUCAACACCAACCGGUUUGGGCUCAGAACUCGAUUUCUGCAUGACUGCACCUGUAGUCAGAGCGCUAUGUUAACUGUGGGGCCACAUUCACUUAUUAGAUGUUGUAACCGGACAAUAUAAACUAAAAACAGUUUCUAUUAUUAUAGUUUUUGAACAAAUGCUCUUCCUUGCGAGUUAAAUCUUGAUUAGUUAUUAAGUUAUUCCAGCUGAAGUUAUGAAGUCCUUGAACAUUCCCAAGGGAGUAAGACGUAAGAGCAUUGAACACUCAUAGGUAAGUAGAAUGAAAAUCGAGUAUACAGCCUUAAAAGAGAGCUUGGAAAGUAUGGAGCAUCUAAUUUCUUCAAUUCGUAGACUUCUUCUAUCGCUUGUUAAGGUGAAAGAAUAGGUUCCAGCUGAAGCAAAACUUCUAAAGAAUGCACUCGGUAGCACGCUUCCUAUAAGCAUACUUCAUAUGAAACUUCAAUUCUCAUAUUUGGUCUUGUAGUCGCUUUUGUAAUUGAAAAUGAGAUUUAUAUGGGAAGAUGGGGAAUCUUUUCGACCCGAAUUGUUUCGACACGAACCGUUUCAACCCGUACAGUUCCCACACGAACUGGCUCAUCUUUUUCUCCAUGUUUUAUCCACCUUGUAUAAUUUGGAUCAAUUCCCUUAUUGAACAAGUGAUGAUCCACUUCAUCCAAAGGAAGAGAGUAGUGGUUUAAACAAUUUAUACAUGGACAUGGAAUUUUUGUUUUUUGUUUA